UACGUAGGGGGCGAGCGUUGUCCGGAUUUAUUGGGCGUAAAGAGCGUGUAGGCGGCCAGGUAGGUCUGCUGUGAAAACUCGAGGCUCAACCUCGAGACGUCGGCGGAAACCAUCUGGCUAGAGUCCGGAAGAGGAGAAUGGAAUUCCUGGUGUAGCGGUGAAAUGCGCAGAUAUCAGGAGGAACACCGGUGGCGAAGGCGGGUCUCUGGGCCGAUACUGACGCUGAGGAGCGAAAGCGUGGGGAGCGAACAGG
rnacentral:rRNA from 1 species